AGGCCUCAUUUGCCUAGCCCUAGGACCGGGCCUGGUGGACAUCAGAGCAAGAACUUGUUCUUGUCGAGCUUGGUAGUUGAUUAUGAUCCCUUGUUGCCGUGCCAUUGCUUCUCUAGUCUCAAGGGUUUGAAGAUUAUAGACUAAGUAGAGGACAUCUACAAGGAGGAGGAUUACUUAAGGACAUAUUCAACCUCCAUUUCUCCCAUCAAAAGCCUAGAAAUGUGGCCUAAUUAUGCAGGUUUCAACCCUUUAGACUCCACCAUUCUACCCAAAGAAGCUAAGGUCGAGAGGUUAAAAAAGGAUAGACGAAAGGAAGUUAGUGAACACGAGGCUAGGUCAUCAUCAAGCAAUGCAAGUAGAGUUGGCCUGACCAUGAAGUGUGGACAACCUGGCCAUGACAAGAUAAGGUGCACAAGGUUACCACCACCAGCAGCAAAUUAAGCCAAUACUUGUGUUUAGUGUUUACUGAUAUAUUUUAACUUCUUAACUUUUCAAACUGCUACAAUCUGUUGUUAUUGAUAAUUCACUUUCUACAUAGAUGGAUCAUCUGAUUGCGCUAUCGAGCAUUCAGUAACACGGUGA
rnacentral:lncRNA from 1 species